UACGUAGGGUGCGAGCGUUGUCCGGAUUCAUUGGGCGUAAAGGGUGCGUAGGUGGCGCGGUAAGUCGGGUGUGAAAUCUCGGAGCUUAACUCCGAAAUUGCAUUCGAUACUGCCGUGCUUGAGGACUGGAGAGGAGACUGGAAUUCAUGGUGUAGCAGUGAAAUGCGUAGAGAUCAUGAGGAAGACCAGUGGCGAAGGCGGGUCUCUGGACAGUUCCUGACACUGAGGCACGAAGGCCAGGGGAGCAAACGGG
rnacentral:rRNA from 1 species